UUCACUUUUCCUCUUUCUCUUUCUCCUCCUUCUUGUUUCUUCCUUCUUUCCCCUAUUCUUCGCGGCUGCUGAUUCUGAGAGAGGUGUGAGAAUUGAUUUAAGAGAGUUCAGCGAUGAAGAUGUUCUGAUGAUGUAGUUCUUGGUGGUGAAGAUAUUUGUGUGAUUGAAUUAGGUUCAUAAUAAGUGAUGUUCAUAGAGAUUUAGUGAGUUAGGGUUUCUGGAUUUGAAGCUAGAUUUGCAUGGAGCUGAUAAUGAUGAUUUCUAGUUGUUAAUGGAUGAAGAUCGAAUGGGUUGAUGUUGUGUUUGUGAAUUGAAGCUGUUAUGAAGAUGAAUCGAAGAAUGAAAGAGUUAGGGUUUCAUAAAGGAAAUUCAGGGAAGGUUCAAAAGAUGAAAUUAAUGUUGUAGAGGAUUGUUUUGGAUAUGGGAUUGAUACGAAUUAGAAUAUACAGAUAAUAAGUGGUUUGAAUUUUAUAAUUAGGGAUUGGCUUUGUUUGAUGAAGGUUUGGGAAUUUAAUUAGGUUUUGGUUGAGAACUAGUUUUGCUGAUGAAAGCUAGGGAUCGAUUAUGUCAAUAAGAAUAUGUUGGAGCUAUUAUUGGUGUUGAUUCAGAUGUUGAAUCAAACUCUGGAAGUAUGGGAAAGUUGUAAAUGAGAGUUCUAGAAUUACAGUUGCAGAUUGGUGAUAUUGGGGUUUGAAUUAUGAUGAUGGUUUCUGGGUAGUCUUGAGAUGUGUUGGUGAACCAGAAACCAAAGUGAGAAAAGGAAUUAAAACUCAGUUGCUUGAGUAGCACAGAUUGGAGGUAAUUCUCAUUUUAAGAUAACUUUGUAAAGCUGUACUUUCUGAUUGUAGUAUGUAUGACUCUAAUGACUGAGAUUGAAAUGCUUAAUUGAAUCUGUAAUGGAAUUGCAGUUGUUGGUUAGGUUUAAAUGAUGAAUUACAGUUGAGGAAUAUAUGUUUGAACUGUAGAAGUUGUUGGUGUGGAUGCGGAUUGUUUUGGUGUUGAGCUAAGUUGAGCUGUUAGUGGUAUUGGUGUUGUCUGUGAUGUUGAAGAUGCAGGGGACAUUAGUGAAUGAUAAAGGUGCGGAGUUAUUGAGGUGUGUGUGUAGAACUGGAGUUAUAGAUGGAAGCAAUAAUGAAUCCUUGAUUGAACUGUUGUAUGGAAUUGAGAUAGAGAUAGAGUAGAUGGUUAUAGUUUUGAAGAUGAAAUUUAGGGUGUGAAUGAAGUUGUAAUGAUUGCGGUGAAUGGGUGUUAUCUGAAAUUGAGAUUAAGGUAAGAGAUAUUUGUUGCUAGUUGAGCAGAUUUAGAAUGGAUGAAUGUUUGUAGAUGCAGACUGACAAUGUUGUCUGAGUUGAAUCUUAAAUGUACAAUUAAAGGAUUUGUGAACUAGGAUAUGUAAAGUGAUUUGGGAGAAAGAGAGUUGUUGUCAUGUUGCUUAGAAGUGACCUUAAUGGAAGCCUUCUACUGCAGAUCAAGUUAGUCUAUAUUAACAACGGUCGAUUCAAAGGAUGAACCAGUGGAUCGUGGAUCUCGAUGUAGGCGUGGAUUGUCAUCAAAAGAGGUGUCUUUUCUCUCUUCAGAUAUAAAAUGUCGAUCUUUAAGAUGUUUAACAAGAGAACUACUAGCGUAUCAACGGCCUCCGACACCAUUCCGACAACCAUAAAAACUCCUAAAAGGGCAAUCAAAGAAGGAAACAACAUGGGUAUUAGGUGGGUGAAGACUAGAUGAAAAGGGACUUGUAUACAUUGUAGGGGUUGCAGAAAACCCAGUUGUCUGAGAAGGAGCUGAAAUAUGAGAAGAAGAGGCCGACGAAAAAGUUGUAGCCAUGGUUUCUGUGAAAACGGAAACUAAUAUUUCUGUGAAAUUUGACUACCCAAA